rnacentral:rRNA from 1 species
GAAACCUAGUGAAGUAUGAGUUAGUGGCGGAUUGGUGAGUAACGCGUGGAAAACCUGCCGUAUACUGGGGGAUAACACUUAGAAAUAGGUGCUAAUACCGCAUAAGCGCACAGCUUCGCAUGAAGCAGUGUGAAAAACUGAGGUGGUAUACGAUGGUUCCGCGUCUGAUUAGCUAGUUGGUGGAGUAAAAGCCUACCAAGGCAACGAUCAGUAGCCGGCCUGAGAGGGUGAACGGCCACAUUGGGACUGAGACACGGCCCAAACUCCUACGGGAGGCAGCAGUGGGGAAUAUUGCACAAUGGGGGAAACCCUGAUGCAACGACGCCGCGUGAGUGAAGAAGUAUUUCGGUAUGUAAAGCUCUAUCAGCAGGGAAGAAAUACUGACCAUAGGGUCAGCAGACGGUACUUGACUAAGAAGCCCCGGCUAACUACGUGCCAGCAGCCGCGGUAAUACGUAGGGGGCAAGCGUUAUCCGGAUUUACCGGGUGUAAAGGGAGCGUAGACGGCAGCGCAAGUCUGAAGUGAAAUGCCAGGGCUUAACCCUGGAACUGCUUUGGAAACUGUGCAGCUAGAGUGCAGGAGAGGUAAGUGGAAUUUCUAGUGUAGCGGUGAAAUGCGUAGAUAUUAGGAGGAACACCAGUGGCGAAGGCGGCUUACUGGACUGUAACUGACGUUGAGGCUCGAAAGCGUGGGGAGCAAACAGGAUUAGAUACCCUGGUAGUCCACGCUGUAAACGAUGAUUACUAGGUGUUGGGGGACCAAGGUUCUUCGGUGCCGUCGCAAA